AGAGUUUGAUCCUGGCUCAGGAUGAACGCUAGCGGCAGGCCUAAUACAUGCAAGUCGAACGGAGUUGGGUAGCAAUACCCAGCUUAGUGGCGCACGGGUGCGUAACGCGUAUGCAACCUACCUUUUACUGGGGGAUAGCCCGAAGAAAUUCGGAUUAAUACCGCAUACUACUAUUUGAGGGCAUCUGAGGAUAGUGAAAGAUUUAUUGGUAAGAGAUGGGCAUGCGUGCCAUUAGCUAGUUGGUAGGGUAACGGCCUACCAAGGCGACGAUGGCUAGGGGUUCUGAGAGGAUGAUCCCCCACACUGGUACUGAGAUACGGACCAGACUCCUACGGGAGGCAGCAGUAGGGAAUAUUGGGCAAUGGAGGCAACUCUGACCCAGCCAUGCCGCGUGCAGGAUGAAGGCCUUCUGGGUUGUAAACUGCUUUUAUCUAGGAAGAAAACCCUCUUGCGAGAGGACUUGACGGUACUAGAGGAAUAAGCACCGGCUAACUCCGUGCCAGCAGCCGCGGUAAUACGGAGGGUGCAAGCGUUGUCCGGAUUUAUUGGGUUUAAAGGGUGCGUAGGCGGCUUAUUAAGUCCGUGGUGAAAGCCAACAGCUCAACUGUUGAACUGCCAUGGAUACUGCUAAGCUUGAGUACAGACGAGGUAGGCGGAAUGGAUGCUGUAGCGGUGAAAUGCAUAGAUAGCAUCCAGAACCCCGAUUGCGAAGGCAGCUUACUAGGCUGUAACUGACGCUGAGGCACGAAAGCGUGGGGAGCGAACAGGAUUAGAUACCCCUGUAGUCC
rnacentral:rRNA from 1 species